AUCGGUGCUUCAACUUGCUCUCACCCCAAUUUAUCACUAUCACUUACACCAAGUGAUAUAACACGAAAAAUCUAUCGAAUAAAACUUUUGUGAGUGAAAGAAACAAAAAAGAAAUUGGAUGAAGUGAGGAAUUCUCAGAAUCUUGCACACUUUGAAGGCAGACCUGUCUCAUGGUUAACUGCUACUACCUCUGUUGGAUUGCAUUUAAGAAUA
rnacentral:lncRNA from 1 species